rnacentral:lncRNA from 1 species
CUUCUGAUUUUGCACUAAAAUACCUGGUAAGACACCAAAAACAGAAAAAUCAUCAAAAGACCAAGAACUAGUACUGACAGUUGACUUAUUGUUUGAAUCUAGGAGACUCCUCCCUCUCUGUGGUGUAUAAAACUAGAUUGUAAAUGGAAACCCUGAUUCAACUCAAUAUGAUUGCUUAAACUAGGAAAAAUGAAAACAAAAACCUCUUAUCUUUCCCACUCUUGUUUCCUGGGUUCACAACGGUAAGUUUUGCCCCAAGCAAAGAAUUGAGUCCCUUCUCUGCUUUGGGGGAAUUGCUUUUAACAACAGGUCUGACAUCUCACUCAUUGCCUCUCUUUUUGCAUCCAAGCAGAGAAUACAACAUUGAGGCUUACAAUGACCCUGAAUACACACUCAUUCCUGCUAAAAGGUGUUGCAAGUCACAAGAGAAGAGGAUACACAUGCACUGAUUACCUAAAAGAUGUGGAAUGAGAAACAAAGCUCCAAAUUUGGAAGCAGCAGUGAAACUCCACAGGUAAGAAAUAAUGUCAAUCAUGGCCCAUUCCAUUUACCUGGUUGGACACUUGGAUGGUUUAUCUCAGCAGGUUUCUCAUCAGAGAACAUCUGUUACUUUUUCCAAAUCCCUGUAAUGAAGCCAGCAUUUAGUUUCAACUCUCUGGAAAAAGGCACAAUUAUUUUAACCACAAGCCUGUAUCUCCUCAACUUCCCAUUUAUUUUAGAAAUGUAGGUGGGAGGAAAUUUUUUUUUUUUUUUUGAGACAGAGUUUCACUCUUGUUGCCCAGGCUGGGGUGCAAUGGCGCGAUCUCAGCUCGCUGCAACUUCCGCCUCCCAAGUUCAGGUGAUUCUCUUGCCUCAGCCUCCGAGUAGCUGGUAUUAAAGGCAUGUGCCACCACACCCAGCUAAUUUUUUGUAUUUUUAGUAGAGAUGGGGUUUCACCAUGUUGGCCAGGCUGAUCUCAAACUCCUGACCUCAGGUGAUCCCCCACUCUCAGCCUCUUGAAGUGCUGGGAUUAGAGGCCCGAGCCACCACACCCUGCGGGAGGAAACAUUUUUUAAGUGCCUGCUCUAGAGUUCACAUGUGUUUCUUUCAUUUAAUGCCUCUUUUACAGAUAGGAGAACUGGCAGUCAGAGAGAUCAAGCAUUUCUCCCAAGGUCCAUAUAGUACAGAUAGGAGAACUGGCACCCAGAGAGGUCAAGCAUUUCACCCAAAGUCCAUAUAGUACAGAUAGGAGAACUGGCACCCAGAGAGAUCAAGCAUUUCACCUAAGGUCC